GAUGAACGCUGGCGGCGUGCCUAAUACAUGCAAGUCGAGCGAACAGAUAAGGAGCUUGCUUCUUUGAUGUUAGCGGCGGGCGGGUGAGUCACACGUGGGUAAUCUACCUAUAAGACUGGGAUAACUUCGGGAAACCGGGGCUAAUGCCGGAUAACAUUUAGAACCGCAUGGUUCUAAAGUGAAAGAUGGUCUUGCUAUCACUUAUUGAUGGAUCCGCGCGGUAUUAGCUAGUUGGUAAGGUAACGGCUUACCAAGGCAAAGAUGCGUUGCCGACGUGAGGGGGGGUUCGGCCACACUGAAACUGAAACACGGCCCUGGCACUGAGGGAAGGCAGCGGUGGGUAAGCUACCGAAAUGGGCGAAAUCCUGACGAAGCAACGCAGCGUGGGUGAAGAGGGUCUGCGUAUCGUAAAACUCUUUUAUUGGGGAAAAACUAAUUUGAAAGUAACGAAGCAAGACUGAACGUAACCUAAUCAGAAGGCCACGCCAACUAACUG
rnacentral:rRNA from 1 species